AUUGAACGCUGGCGGCAGGCCUAACACAUGCAAGUCGAACGAGUGGCGGACGGGUGAGUAAUGUCUGGGAAACUGCCUGAUGGAGGGGGAUAACUACUGGAAACGGUAGCUAAUACCGCAUACCAUCAGAUGUGCCCAGAUGGGAUGAGCUAGUUGGGGGGGUAACGGCGCACCAAGGCGACGAUCCCUAGCUGGUCUGAGAGGAUGACCAGCAACCAGGGAACUGAGACACGGUCCAGACUCCUACGGGAGGCAGCAGUGGGGAAUAUGGCACAAUGGGCGCAAGCCGGAUGCAGCCAUGCCGCGUGUAUGAAGAAGGCCUUCGGGGUGUAAAGUACGUUAAGCGGGGAGGCGUUACCCGCAGAAGAAGCACCGGCUAACUCCGUGCCAGCAGCCGCGGGAAUUC
rnacentral:rRNA from 1 species